GGAGACCCCACACUAUGCGACUCUUCAGCUCCACUCGGGGGGUGUCACAACCUAUCCCAGCAGCAGUAGAUGAAAGCGCAGGAGCCAAUCUGGGAAGGAACACACUUGUUUUGGGGAAUUUGGGAGAAAAACCCGGCGAGAACAUGCAAAAGCCACACAGUCUACCAGGUGUGGGAUUUGAACCCAGGGCACUGGAUCUGUGAGACAGCUGUAAAUAAUAACCACUGAGCCCAACAACAGUUCACCAAAACAUUAAAUUUUCUGGGGUGGCGAUCUGUGCCACUACCACCUAAUCAA